AGAUGUUGGGUUAAGUCCCGCAACGAGCGCAACCCUCGACCUUAGUUGCCAGCAUUCAGUUGGGCAACUCUAAGGUGACUGCCGGCUAAAAGUCGGAGGAAGUGGGGAUGACGUCAAAUCAUCAUGCCCCUUAUGACCUGGGCUACACACGUGCUACAAUGGGCGGUACAAAGGGUCGCGAACCCGCGAGGGGGAGCCAAUCCCAAAAAAGCCGCUCUCAGUUCGGAUUGCAGGCUGCAACUCGCCUGCAUGAAGCCGGAAUCGCUAGUAAUCGCGGAUCAGCAUGCCGCGGUGAAUACGUUCCCGGGCCUU
rnacentral:rRNA from 1 species